AACCCUCCUCCCGGCGAUGGCGACGACGGCUGCGGCGUACGGCUGCCCGGCGGCGGCGGCGGCGGCGCCGUUCGCGGCCAGCGUCUCCCGCCGCCGCGCGCCCCUUUCCUGCGUCUCGCUCGCUUCCUCCUCCUCCCGCAGGCGCACGGCGGAGUUUCCCGGGUUGAGGGUUUCGUGUCUCCGUAGGAUACUGGCUGUCUCUGCGUGCUCCGGGGAGGCUGAUUCGGACGCGGGGUCUGCGCCGGCGGAAAGCACUUUUGAUCUAAAUCUUCCAAGAAGAAGCUUACUUGUUCAAUUUACAUGCAAUGCAUGUGGAGAAAGGACCAAGCGGUUGAUAAAUAGGGUUGCCUAUGAAAGAGGAACAAUAUUUCUUCAGUGUGCAGGGUGCCAGGUGUACCACAAAUUUGUUGAUAAUCUUGGUCUAGUUGUUGAGUAUGAUCUACGAGAAGAAAAUGGGAUGAACACCGAUACUGAAACUUGAUCUGUUAUGAGAAAGCAUUUUGCUCUAGAGUGCAGUCGAUAUCUUCUAUAACUAGGAUUGACCUGUUGGUCAUCCCGAUGAGCAACCGUCGAAGGGUUGAGUUCCAGUUGACCUCAGUCAGCUCGAGAUCAUAUACGUCGAACUUGAGGUAAUUGGCCAUGGCUGCAAUCAAGCUGGACUUGCCAGUUCCAGGUGGGCCAUACAGAAGGUCGAGGGGUGGUGGAGGUCGAUGGCGAACCACGACUCACCUUCGUUCAUGUAGAUCUUCAGCGUCCUGUCCUGAUCCUUGAUCUUCUUUGCAGUGGCCAGGAUGUGAGGGAGGUAAGAGUUGAGGGCCUUGUCCUUGUGCUUCUUGUGGAAGCUCAUCUCGAAGGACCGGACCUCGAGCCGGUA